ACGGGUGAGUAACACGUGGGUAACCUGCCCGGAAGUGGGGAAUACCUCGGGGAAACUCGAGCUAAUACCGCAUGACAUCUUUGGGACGAGAGUCCCGACGAUCAAAGCGGGGUCGCAAGAUCUCGCGCUACCGGAUGGGCCCGCGCCCGAUUAGCUAGUUGGUGGGGUAACGGCUCACCAAGGCAACGAUCGGUAACCGGCCUGAGAGGGCGAUCGGUCACACCGGAACUGAGACACGGUCCGGACUCCUACGGGAGGCAGCAGUGGGGAAUCUUGCGCAAUGGGCGAAAGCCUGACGCAGCAACGCCGCGUGGAGGAUGAAGGCCCUUGGGUUGUAAACUCCUGUCGGCUGGGAAGAAAUCGUUCGGAGCGAAUACCUCCGGACGUUGACUGUACCAGCAAAGGAAGCCCCGGCUAACUCUGUGCCAGCAGCCGCGGUAAUACAGAGGGGGCCAGCGUUAUUCGGAAUUAUUGGGCGUAAAGGGCGCGUAGGCGGCCAUGCGUGUCUUUCGUGAAAUCCCUCGGCUUAACUGAGGACGUGCGGAAGAAACUGCAAGGCUUGAGUCCGGGAGAGGGGGGUGGAA
rnacentral:rRNA from 1 species